UCGGGAAUAUUGCGCAAUGGAGGAAACUCUGACGCAGUGACGCCGCGUGCAGGAAGAAGGUUUUCGGAUUGUAAACUGCUUUAGACAGGGAAGAAAAAGACAGUACCUGUAGAAUAAGCUCCGGCUAACUACGUGCCAGCAGCCGCGGUAAUACGUAGGGAGCAAGCGUUAUCCGGAUUUAUUGGGUGUAAAGGGUGCGUAGACGGGAAGACAAGUUAGUUGUGAAAUCCCUCGGCUUAACUGAGGAACUGCAACUAAAACUAUCAUUCUUGAGUGCUGGAGAGGAAAGUGGAAUUCCUAGUGUAGCGGUGAAAUGCGUAGAUAUUAGGAGGAACACCAGUGGCGAAGGCGACUUUCUGGACAGUAACUGACGUUGAGGCACGAAAGUGUGGGGAGCAAACAGGAUUAGAUACC
rnacentral:rRNA from 1 species